AACCAUUCUCACCUGCGGCUAGACCUGCGGAAGGAUCAUUACCGAGUUUACAACUCCCAAACCCCUGUGAACAUACCUAUACGUUGCCUCGGCGGAUCAGCCCGCGCCCCGUAAAACGGGACGGCCCGCCCGAGGACCCCUAAACUCUGUUUUUAGUGGAACUUCUGAGUAAAACAAACAAAUAAAUCAAAACUUUUAACAACGGAUCU
rnacentral:misc_RNA from 1 species